GGGGGAGACACUACCAGCCGUUGCCAUGACAAGCAGCAUGUGAAGAUGCCGUGGUAAGGAGAGCCAAAGGUGCUGCAAUAAGGAAGAAAUGGGACUGGUGGAGCAGAGGCCUUGCUGCCUCCCACGCUGAACUUGGAAAGAGCAGUUCUGAAUGGCACCAUCUUAAAGAGACUUUCCCAGGAAGUAUUUGGAAGAUGGUAGAAUCUGAACCCAGGAGCAACAGCCUCACAGCAAAGCCAGACAGAGGU